UCUUCGGCAUGGGCGCAAGCCUGNCCGACGACGCCGCGUGUGCGAUGAAGGCCUUCGGGUUGUAAAGCACUGUCGAGGGGGAGGAAAGCCGCAAGGCCUGACCUAUCCCUGGAGGAAGCACGGGCUAAGUUCGUGCCAGCAGCCGCGGUAAGACGAACCGUGCAAACGUUGUUCGGAAUCACUGGGCUUAAAGGGCGCGUAGGCGGGUGGCCAAGUCAGGGGUGAAAUCUUUCCGCUCAACGGGAAAACAGCUUCUGAUACUGGCCGUCUUUGAGGGGGGUAGGGGCAUGUGGAACUUCCGGUGGAGCGGUGAAAUGCGUAGAUAUCGGAAGGAACGCCGGUGGCGAAAGCGACGUGCUGGACCCUUUCUGACGCUGAGGCGCGAAAGCCAGGGGAGCAAACGGGAUUAGAUACCCCGGUAGUCCUGGCCCUAAACGUUGGGUACUAGAUUGUGGACUUAACAUGGGUUCACAGUCGAAGCAAAAGUAUUAAGUACCCCGCCUGGGGAGUAUGGUCGCAAGGCUGAAACUCAAAAGAAUUGACGGA
rnacentral:rRNA from 1 species